rnacentral:rRNA from 1 species
GAUGAACGCUGGCGGCGUGCCUAAUACAUGCAAGUCGAGCGAACAGACGAGGAGCUUGCUCCUUUGACGUUAGCGGCGGACGGGUGAGUAACACGUGGAUAACCUACCUAUAAGACUGGGAUAACUUCGGGAAACCGGAGCUAAUACCGGAUAACAUGUUGAACCGCAUGGUUCAACAGUGAAAGACGGUCUUGCUGUCACUUAUAGAUGGAUCCGCGCCGCAUUAGCUAGUUGGUAAGGUAACGGCUUACCAAGGCAACGAUGCGUAGCCGACCUGAGAGGGUGAUCGGCCACACUGGAACGUAGACACGGUCCAGACUCCUACGGGAGGCAGCAGUAGGGAAUCUUCCGCGAUGGGCGAAAGCCUGACGGAGCAACGCCGCGUGAGUGAAGAAGGUCUUCGGAUCGUAAAACUCUGUUAUUAGGGAAGAACAAAUGUGUAAGUAACUAUGCACGUCUUGACGGUACCUAAUCAGAAAGCCACGGCUAACUACGUG